rnacentral:rRNA from 1 species
UACGGAGGGUGCAAACGUUGCUCGGAAUCAUUGGGCGUAAAGCGCACGUAGGCGGUCCAGCAAGUCGGGUGUGAAAGCCCUCGGCUUAACCGGGGAAGUGCAUUCGAAACUACUGGACUUGAAUACUGAAGAGGAUCGCGGAAUUCCCGGUGUAGAGGUGAAAAUUCGUAGAUAUCGGGAGGAACACCAGUGGCGAAGGCGGCGAUCUGGGCAGAUAUUGACGCUGAUGUGCGAAAGCGUGGGGAGCAAACAGG